rnacentral:pre_miRNA from 1 species
CUUGUACUCCCUCCGUUCUAAAUUACUCGUCGCAGAAAUGGAUGUAUCUAGAACUAAAAUACAUCUAGAUACAUCCAUACCUGCGACAAGUAAUUCGGAACGGAGGGAGUAUCUG